rnacentral:rRNA from 1 species
UACGUAGGGUGCAAGCGUUAAUCGGAAUUACUGGGCGUAAAGCGUGCGCAGGCGGUUGUGCAAGACCGAUGUGAAAUCCCCGGGCUUAACCUGGGAAUGGCAUUGGUGACUGCACGGCUAGAGUGUGUCAGAGGGGGGUAGAAUUCCACGUGUAGCAGUGAAAUGCGUAGAGAUGUGGAGGAAUACCGAUGGCGAAGGCAGCCCCCUGGGAUAACACUGACGCUCAUGCACGAAAGCGCGGGGAGCGAACGGG